CUGCGCCUCGGGAACCGGUCCGGUGCGGAGAGUUCUUCGUCCUGGGAAACGGGGCGCGGCC
rnacentral:precursor_RNA from 1 species